ACAGGAAAAACAAAGCUGAGCGCUGUCAAGAAAGGAGAGAUGGAGUCGGGGCUCGAGCAGCAUGUAUUUAGUUCCCCCAGGCAUUGUCCAGUGUCAGUAAGUUCAAGAGUCAUGGCUUGCACUUCCUUCUGAUCUCAACGCCUGUGUCCUCUCCACCUGCUGCACAUCAAGCACAGCAUGGCCUCUGAUUAGCAUCACCUGUGUGGUUGUCAGGGCUGUAGUGUUUCAGGCUCAGCCCAGACCUUCUGUUCAAAAUCUGCAUUUUCAAAAGAUUUCCAGCUGGGAGCAUCCCAAACUCAAAGUCUUAAGGCGGUGAUGGCGAAGCUACUGCAUGUGUGCCGCGCUGGCUGUUUGCAUCAUUGAAAGCUGUGACGUCACUGCCCCAGGGUGUGCUGGAGGUUUUGGUCCAUGUUGGCUGACUCUAAGGCACAAACAUCGUGGUGGAAGAACGUGACAGAGGAAAGCUGCUCAACUCGUGGGUGGAGGAGGAAGCAAAGGUAAGGAAAGAGCACACAAGGAAGGGGCCAGUGACCAGAAAUCUUCUGCUCUGAGAAAGGAGAGAGACUGGCUUGGAUGCCACGCUGCCCACAGUCUACCAACUUACCACCCAAGCCUUAUAACUGAAUUUUGAGUCAUUAACAACAACGUCCCAGAAAUGCUGGAGGAGGAUUUAACAAUGUGACGGUGGAUGAGAUGGGAGACAUGCUCUAAGCAUUCAAAAUGAAAAACACCAGAACACAACCGUUAUUUUAUGAAAGAGGCUGGAAAAUGUUUUGUCACCUGAUUAUCACCUAUAGCAAGUACUGAUUGUUACCUACAACAAGUACUAUCAAAGGAGGAGCUUCGAUGCCCUGGGAGAGUGAAGAACAUAGCACAAGGGGCCAUUUCCAAGCAUGAUCAGACUGUGGCUUCUCAAGGGAGGAUCCAGGUGCCUAUCCAGCAGCAGUUUCUUCUUGAGAAGGAGCAUUAACAUCAACAAUCCCAAGCAGAGAGAGGAAGCGAGGAUGUUUAGAUACUUGGCUGCCCUACUGGAUGUCCUAACGUACUGUUUAGCUAAUUCAUACAGUAACAAGUUCUUUUCUUUUAAAUUAAAUCUUAUAAAGUUUUAGACUUCCUUUUUUUAAAAUUAAAAAAUAUAUAUGUAUGUAUAUAUGUGCUGGAGAUUGAACUCAGGGCCACAGAUAUGCUAAGCACAUAUUGUUAUACUGAGCUACACUCUAAGGCCCCUUUUCAAGAUAUAAACAUAACCAAUACCUCAAAACUUACUUGGAAGUUGGAGGUGUUAAAUCAAAACUAGGUAACUAGGUUGAGAAGGACAGAAGAAAGACAUCUUUUUUGCCUUUAUGUUUCUCUUGAUCACUAAGAAUCCAAAAAUAAAUCAAGAGACAUGAGGACUGGAAUGUUAAGUACAUAUGCAAUGAAAUGUUAGUUCUAUAUGUAAUGAAAUGUUAUUCAACCUUGGAAAUGAAGAGAAUCCCUCCCUUUGCAGUGACACAGAUGAAAGUGAAGGGCAUUAUGUUAAGGGAAAUAAGCUCAUGCUGGGAGACAAAACUAUGAAUUCACUUAUUUAUUUGUGAAAUGUAAAGAAACAGAAACAGAGGCUAGGUUGUAUGAAGGGGGAUGUUGAUCAAAAAGAACAAAAUUUUAAUUAUGAAUGAUGAAUAAAUCCUGGAGAUUUAACGGUUAGCAUGAUAACUAUUGUAAAAAGAGUAAAAGAGUUGUUUUUCUCUUGUGUUUUUACAAGUAAAAAAAUUGUGAGGGGCUAGAUAUGCUGAUUAGCUUGAUUAUGCCAAUCAAUUCAUGAUGUGUCCCCAUACAUUGUACCCCUCGAAUAUAUAAUUUUUAUUUGUAGAGAAAGGUUUUUAAAAUUCUACAUUAAAUUUUACAACCAUGCCA